UAUAAGUGUAUUAUCAGCUAUAGGUGCUUCCUUUGGAAUAGGAAGACCUUUUUUAAAUGGCCAAACUAGCCCGGACCAUGUGAAAGGAACCAGGGAGUCCCUUUUGUCCACAUGGAACUUUGAAGCAGCUCAGCUCAGUUUCAGGUGAUCCCUUUUGGCCAACUUGGUGCUUUCCCGGGUUCAGGGUUUAGUUUAAUGCUUGUAGGUGAGGCUGUCUGGGGUUUCCAGCUGCUUUCAUGGAAAGGAAGCCACUUAAUGAAAUAGUCCUUCCAACAAAACACUUCCCUUCUCAGUCUAUUAUUUUGAUUUAUUCCACUGCCCUUCAUUAUAACUUAGCCUGCACCAACAACCUGGAGUUGGAGGAGAGAGGUAGGGAAGCAGGAAGAAAAUAAUUCCUGAACACAGAGCCCUGACUCCAUCUCCUGCUGUAUCUUUAUUCCUUGGAUUAUUUUCCUCAUUGUGAUGCAUGGAUUUCAGGCUCUCUUUACUUGUAUUUGUAGUUACAUUUAUUUGAGUAAAAUUGUUGAUAUUCAGCAAAAAGAACAGUAAAUGCUUCUGCAUUUCAAUGUCUCCCUAAGUAUUCUCUCUCUGAGAUUUUGGAGUUUAGUUCUGCUUUCACAAAUGUUAUGUGUUUAGUAUGAGCAAAGUAUUGCAGAAUAGGUUUCACUCCCAUCCCCUGUGUCUGAAAUACCAUAAGUCAGCUGGGAUCCUAUUAAUGCCACAGAUGCUGUCCAAGACUGCCUGACUGUACCCUGUUUUUGGAGGAUGUGUGAGAAAAUCCAAUAGAGACACGGGACACAUCACCAUUCUGCACUCUGUGCUGAGUGAACUCUCCAAAGUCCUGAGGGCUUGGUGAGGAUUUUUUAUACAAUUAUUUGUGUGGAAAAGAGCAAAAAUACCCUUUGGAUCCUGAAGUGUUUCAUCACAGAUGGGAGCAAUAUUUUUCCCAGAAGUUUGAGAGUUCAUUUGCUGGUGUCCUUAAAGCUACAUGAGGGCGGGACUGCACCUCCAGAUCUGUGCCUUUGUGCUCAGCUGAAACCCCAGCAGGCUCUGCAGAAAACGACAGAACAAAAUAAGUGACUGCAGGAUGGGUUUCUGUGUUAGGCUUCUCUUCCCACACUGGAUUUGAGAUGGGGAGAAUCUAGGAUGUGCAUCUCUAAUAUGCAGCCAGUGACUGUGGUGACCCCAAGCAAGUGAACUGGAGGUCCAGGAGUUAUUCUUCUUUGAACCUGGGCCUAGUGAAACGGUUAUAGAUUUGAAUACAGAUUGCUAAUAAAAAGCAGAAAUGAAAUUUGUAACACAGCUCAAAAUGUCCAAAGAAGAGAAGGCCAUGGCUCAAAUUUUCCUUUCCUGACCACUUCACUUCCGAGUUCCUGAGUGCAAACCACCACGCUCACAGUGACCCACGUCUCACCGGUCCUUUUGUCCUGGCAUCAUCUCAGGGUAAGGAACACCUUCCACAUGGACAAGCAGCUCCUCCUUGGCUUCCAUCUAGGAAGUGACUAUUACUUCUUUUAGGGUCAGAUUGGCCUUUAAAGGCUGUCAACUGUUGGGGCUGUUUUCCCUUCUCACAAAAUAUGUCAGAGGGGAAAUUUUUGUGUUCUGAGAGUAGAAUGAGAUUCCCUUAAGGACAUCACUUUCCGUCUGAGUCUCAUCCUUAAAAGACAUUGAGAUAAUUACCUGUACCUAUUACAACUUACUCUCAUUUCUCCUUUCCCUCACGUCUUUUUUCAUGGGCUUUGUCUUUGUUGAGCUGCUUUUAUUAUUCAAGUCAGGUUUCCAAGAAGCAAACCUGUUCGGUUUGAAGUCUGUAACUCAGAUAAAUUUGUAUCAAUUGCAAAGUAAUUUUAAGUCAUCCUUGUUUUGCAGGCCUACUUCACUUGGUGCACUGGAAAGAAAAGAAAGAACAAGGGGACAACAAGUGGGGAUGUCUAAAGUUAGUUAGUAAUAUACAAUAAUAGAGACAAAAUUCUACUGGAGACAAUUUGUCCCUGUGGCUUAAAAUCUGCUUUAAAGCUGGUGAUAAUCUCUUACUAUCCUAGAGUGCCAGGAAGAGGGGAAAGAGCUGGAGCUGCUCCCCGGUUUGAUGGGCAAGGUAUCUUCUGCAUUGUCCCCUGGCACUUAGGGAUAAUUCCAGAAAGAUGUUGGCUACACUGAUGUCACUGACGUCCAUGGGAUUACUGAUGCCAGCAGGAGUCUGACAGAAGCACUGUGACUAGACUGAGGCUACUGGUGGUUUUUGGAGUGUGAGAAGAUUCACCAAGGUGAGCUACUGUCAUCAGGAGAAAGAGAAUAACAAAGGCAAACAGCUGGAAUCCUGGGUCACAGCCACAGUGGAAACUUCCUAUGGUAUUGAAGCAACGCUGAUGGCAGGAGUUGGACUCUUGACACUCAU